CUGUAGAGCUUUCCUGGCUCCAUCUGCCCAGGCACAGAAAGUAGCUGUGGGAUGGGAAGGUACAGCUGAGACCCCCCUGGCAUAUCUCUCCAGCUGAGCAUCAAAGGGACAGUCGGGAGAGUUUUCUGAAAACAAAGUUGAGAACUAAGCUCAUGGUGCUGGCUGCAGGCCAUUCAGGAUGGAAAUGAACUUUGGAAACCUGGAAUGUCUUGGCUGCAGAAGAAAUCUAUUUUGAGAGAAAAUGAGAGGCAGGCUGCUGGAACAGAGGAUUUUAUGAAAUACUGUAAGCAUAAGCUUGUCUUCACAUUAAAACUUCUCUGCUUCAACGAGAGACUAUGAGACCUGGUGAAAGAGUAUGAACAGAAAUUAUGUGGACCCCAGCAGAAGACCAAAGGUUAGCUCGAUUCUGCGCCUGUAGUUCUUUUCCUGUCGCUUCUCAAGAUGUCAAGUCCACACACAAGAAGGGCGUUGUAACCCCCGGGGGGGGACACAAGGUCUGCUGCCCAGAGUCACACAAAAGAAUGACCUGAUGCCACAUGGAAAGAGAGGGAGUGGGGAAGACACAUUUGUAGAAGCAGUCUGGAAGACUGUAUUAUCAUUUUCCAGAAACAGGCGUGGGGCUGGAACUCAAGACAGAAUCUGUGUAUUUUUGAAACAAGUAGCACAUCAGACCUGAGCAGAAUGACAAGCAGGUGGCAGAAGGACACCCACUCUAAAUCCAAAAUGACAGAGGCUUUAUUUGCUUAACACCAUUCCAAAGGCCCUGCAGACGAUGUUUGCCUGCAAGUCAAGCAUGCGGAUAUCUGUACAGAUGCAGGAUGUGUAUAAGUGAUAUCCCGGUUGCAGUACUCUUCAUCUCUCACAAAGAUGUUUUAGUCCCAAAAGUCUGAGAAGAUGAUGUGACUGAGAUAAGAACUGAAGAUUUGUUUGAUCAGAAAAAAAUUAUGAAGAUUUCAAAACUUAAAAAGCAAAUGCAAUUAUUUUCUUGGCUCAGUCUUCUAAACUUUUUCCCAAGGAAAAUCUUGCAGCCUCAGCCAACACUGCAAGUAGGAAGUGGCUAUGCAUGUACAAAAGUCUUAACUUGUGAGCAGCUUCGCAGAAUGUAGUCUCCCCCUGAAUACUGGGAGCUGUAGGGCUUUGCAAAGCAGAGCAGCACCAAAUGGGAGAAGAGCACAUGAAACGUUUUUAUUUGUGUUCACCUAACUGAAACUUUUAGUUUUAUUUAGUUUUGUAUUUAGGCCAAGCACGAGACAAGCAAGCCUGUCUCGCCUGCAGUAAUAGUGUGACUGCUGUGCCAGAGAUGACCAAGUUUUCUCUUACAAUAUUACUCAUACAAGUUGGCUGCCAAAAAACAAUGUGAAAAUUUUGCCAAAUCUUCUGCUCAAUUUUGUGCAAAAUCUCUAUGUUGUGUAUACACACCAGCUUCGAUUGACACCACUAUGUGCAAUGCUGACUGAAUGAUUUUGUAUGUAAUGCCAUAUAUAUUAAACAUCUUUGAUAAAUAUGUUGUAGUCGUCUACACCUAAUAAGGACAUGCAAAUACUGAAGUCACUUUUUUGUCCUUUUCUUCUCAGUGUUCGUGCUUAGAUAAUUGUUCAACAUUGUACUUCUACAGUAAAGCACUUUAUAAAUGGCCAGAACUCAGUCAAAUAGACCAUCAUGUAAAAGAUUCUGUAUUUUCUCUUACUGCUAAAACAUGAGGUUUUGUACAGCUUGUGUUUUUACUUUGUGGUGGGUAAAGCUUGCCCUGUGGCCACAUCACCUUGAGAACGGCCAGCUAGUUCAGCUGUAGAGCAUAAAACUCA